ACUAAUGAGACAAAAUAAUGAACAUUUAUUCAAAAAAUAUAAAACAUUAUUUUGUGUUUUACCCAAAUACAUAAAAUUCCCACCAGUUUUCUGAACAUUUUAACAUUUUUAUAAAAUUCUAACCGCAGCUGAAUAAAACUGGUAACAGUGUUGCAUCAUCUAUUUGAGGAGGAGUCGAUGCAAAACUCGGAAGUCUUCCAGCUCUAUUUAUCUGACUGCAGAGAUGCUGACAGAGAACUCUGAACACUAGAGUAACACGAUGGAUUAUAGAUCAGGGCUGCUGGUUUUAGCCCUCUGCUGGACAGGUGUUUCAGGUCAGACUCUGACUCAGUCUGAACCAGUGGUUAAAAGACCAGGAGAAUCGCACAAGCUGACCUGUACUGGUUCUGGUUACACAUUCAGUAGUUAUGCGAUGGUCUGGGUCAGACAGGCUCGUGGAAAAGGACUGGAGUGGAUCACCUACAUCAGCAGUGGUGGUGACACUCAGUUCUACUCCCAGUCAGUUAAGGGCCGGUUCACCAUCUCCAGAGACAACAACCAACAGCAGGUGUUUCUGCAGAUGAACAGUCUGAAGCCUGAAGAUUCUGCUGUUUAUUAUUGCGCUCGAGAGCCACAAUGACUGAAGUCAGUGGAGCAGCUGCACAAAAACCUGAAGUCUCUUUGCUUCUUUGAGAUGUUGGAAACAACGUUGCUUCACUUCUUUAGGUUUUGUGGUCAUUUUUUAGUUUAAUGUUUCUUGUUCUUCUGCAACUUUUAGAUAAUAAACAUGAUCAAGUCAUGGGUUUGACUCAGAUAUGGCAGCUCCUCAGUUCUUUUAUUUCUCUUCCUUUUGUCUGUUUACUUUUGUGUUUCUGGAAUAUUUUCCUGUUGAAGAACAAAGUUUCAAACAGCUUCCAGCUGUCAGACCCUAAAGAUCAGGGACCUGAUCUCCUGUAUAACUUCACACAUUUUCAUUAUACAACUUAUUAAUAUUAUGAUGCACAUUUUUCUUCUCACUUUUCAAACAGAAAACUAAACAUCAGUUUGUUACUGAAGCAC